AUCUCACUGACAGUCACUGAAGUGGAUGUUUUACUGCCACAACCAGAGCCAAAGACCAGAGCUGAAUUCUUAAAAUAUUCAUGUGAAAUCACACUGGAUCCAAACACAGCACACAAAUGUCUGUUAUUGUCAGAGGGGAACAGAAAAGUAACAGUAAUGAAUGAACAACAGUGUUAUUACCAUCAUCCAGACAAAUUCACUUAUUGGUGUCAGGCCCUGAGUAGAGAGAGUCUGACUGGACGUUGUUACUGGGAGGUGGAGUGGAGAGGGAGAGGAAUUCAUGUCGCAGUCGCAUACAAGGAUAUCAGUAGAGCAGGGUGGGGUAAUGAGUGCAAAUUGGGACGUAAUGAAAAUUCUUGGGCAUUCAAUUAUUACAAAAACAGUUUUACAUUUUGGUACAACAACAUCCAAACUCCUGUCUCAGGUCCUCGUUCCUCCAGAGUAGGAGUGUACCUGGAUCACAGAGCAGGUAUUUUGUCCUUCUACAGCGUCUCUGAAACCAUGACUCUCCUCCACAGAGUCCAGACCACAUUCACUCAGCCGCUCUAUGCUGGACUCUGGCUUUACU